GCCUCUUGCCAUCGGAUGUGCCCAGAUGGGAUUAGCUAGUAGGUGGGGUAACGGCUCACCUAGGCGACGAUCCCUAGCUGGACUGAGAGGAUGACCAGCCACACUGGAACUGAGACACGGUCCAGACUCCUACGGGAGGCAGCAGUGGGGAAUAUUGCACAAUGGGCGCAAGCCUGAUGCAGCCAUGCCGCGUGUAUGAAGAAGGCCUUCGGGUUGUAAAGUACUUUCAGCGGGGAGGAAGGCGAUAAGGUUAAUAACCUUGUCGAUUGACGUUACCCGCAGAAGAAGCACCGGUUAACUCCGUGCCAGCAGCCGCGGUAAUACGGAGGGUGCAAGCGUUAAUCGGAAUUACUGGGCGUAAAGCGCACGCAGGCGGUCUGUCAAGUCGGAUGUGAAAUCCCCGGGCUCAACCUGGGAACUGCAUUCGAAACUGGCAGGCUAGAGUCUUGUAGAGGGGGGUAGAAUUCCAGGUGUAGCGGUGAAAUGCGUAGAGAUCUGGAGGAAUACCGGUGGCGAAGGCGGCCCCCUGGACUAAGACUGACGCUCAGGUGCGGAAAAGUUUGGGGGACCCAUCCAGGAUUUACAUACCCCUGGUCGUUCCUCGCCUGUAAACGAUCAGGUCUAGGAGGUGGUUUUCCUUUAUCCGCUUGCCUUGGCUCGC
rnacentral:rRNA from 1 species